UCCCCACUCUGCCCUGCCCAGGUGUAGGCCUCGCCCGCAGCCGAGCAGGGUCUGCCACGGGUAGUGGGCGAGGAUCCCAGCACCAGGCUUGAAUUUCCUGCUGGUGAGCAGGACUCACGUCUAACUAGACAGCUGUUGGUCACCUCCGAGUUACACUUCCGUACCACAAUUACCACCAAAGACAGUUGGAGCAGGAACUGGAAGAGAAUAAGGAACCUGGAAGCGGGAACUCCCACUGGCUCGCCCCUCCUGGCUCGCUCAGCCUGCUCAGGCCUGGCACUGCCCACCGUGGGCUGGACCCACCCCCAUGAAUCACUAAUUGAGAAAACGCCCUGGGCUGACCUGUGGAGGCAUUUUCUCAGGUAAGGUUCUGAUGACACAAGCGUGUGUCAAGCUGAGUGAAAAUGGCCCCCGUAGGCCCCCGUAGGCCCCCGUAGGCUCAGAGGGAAUGGCAUUGUCUGAAAGGAUUGGGACAAGUAGCCUUGCUAGAUCAGUGUGGCCUUGUUGGAAGAGGAGUGUCACUGAGAGUGGGCUCUGGGGUUUCAGAGGCUUAAGCCAGGCCCCGUGGCUCACAAUCUCUUUCCGCUGCCUGAUGCAGAACUCUCAGCCACCUCUCUAGCCCCAUGUCUGCCUGCACACCGCCAUGCUUCCCGUCAUGGUGAUAACAGGCCAAACCUUUAAGCCUGCCAGCCAGCCCCAGUUAAAUGCUUUCCUUUAUAGGAGCUGCCAUGGUUGUGGCGUGUCCUCAUGGUAAGAGAAACCCUAAGACAGUUGACAAAAUUACUAUUGUGAAAUGGCUGUUACCGGAAGUAAUCUAUAGGUUCAGUGCAAAUCCUGUCAAAAUUCCAGUGACAUUCUUCAUAGAACCGGGAAAAAAAAAAAACCUAAAAAUUCAUAUAGAAACACAAAAGGCCACAAAUAGCCAAAGCAAUCAGAGUUAGAAAGAACACCCCUGGUGAUACCACAAUACCUGACCUCAAACUAUACUACAGAGCCAUAGUGACAAAGACAGCUUGAUACUGGCACAGAAACAGACAUGUCAAAUAGAACGGAAAACUCAGAAAUGAAGCCAUAUCGCCAUGGCCACCUUAUGUUUGAUAGUUACCAGGAAAGAAUCUACUCAACAAAUGCUGCUGGCAAAACUGGAUAUCUAUCUAUAAUAUAAAUCAAUAUCUUUAUAUAAAUGUGUGGAUCAGAGGCCUUAAUUUAAAAGCUAAAACACUGAAACUGCAUGAGAACAUAAAGACUACACUUCAAGAUACAGGCAAGGACUCUAAUGAUAACACAGGAUGUGGUACAUUAACAAACGAGGCUACAGGAAAUUAAAAAGUGUAAUAUCAGCCGGGCAAUCAGAACAGCCCACAGGAUGGGAAAAACACCUUUGCCAGCUAGCAGUACCUGAGGCGGGGGAGGGGAGCAGAAUAUGUCAGUCACCGCAAAAGUCAAACACCAAAAUUCAAAAGUACCAGUCAGUGAAUAAACUAAUGAGACGAACAGAUAGUUCCCAAAAAGAGAAACACGAAUUUCUUAUAGCUUCUUUUUAAUGCUCAACAUGCUCAGCCGUCCAGAAAAAACGCAAACUGAACCACUUUGAGCUUCUGCCCCACCCCAUUCAAGAUGCUGCUAUCAAGGAUAUAGAUGACAUCAGGGCCGGCAAGGGUGUGAGCAGAGAGGAACAUUCAUCCCUUGCUGGUCGGGGAGGAAGCUAGAGCAGCCAUUGGGGAAAUUAGCGCGGAAGACUCCCAGAAAAACUAAAAAACAGAGCCAGGGAGAUUGCUAAGCGUGUGAACAUGCUCACCACAGAAGCGUGGUGACCUAAGUUUGAUUCCUGCUACCCCCCCCAAAAAAAAAAAAAUGAACGCAAUAGUAUGCUUCUGUAAUGCCGGCAGUCUUAGAGCAAGAUGGGAGCCGGAGACGGGAGAAUCGCUCAGAAGCAGUGAGCAGCCUGGAGUGCAGAGACUGGUAGAAACAACAACAAACAAACAAACAAAAACAAACUCUGCCUUGACAAAGUGGAAGGGGGAGUGAAACUCCCGAGAGCUGUCCUUCUACCCCUAUAUGCACAGUUGUAUGUGCUCUCUCUCUCUCUCUCUCUCUCUCACACACACACACGAAUAAAAACAAUAAUGAUAAAUAAAAUAAAUGUUCUACAUUAAAAAUAUAACUACCAUCCAAUCCAACUAUAUCAGCUCCUGAGCACAUACCCAACAGUCUCUAUAUCCUACUUAGAAAUACCCGCACACCCUCAUUUAUCGAUGCCUUAUUCGUACUAGCAAGGAGAUGAUCGGCCUAGAUGUCCACCAACAGAUAGACAGGUGGAUAAUGAAAAUUCAGUGCAUAUAUACACAGUGGGAUUUAUUCAAUGCUAAAUACGAAGUUUGCAAGAAACUGAUGACUCUGAAAAGGAUUACUUAGUUAAGCUAGAUAACCCAGACUCAGAGAUUGCACGCCUGUCUCUCGGCUUUUAAUGUUUAUUUGUGUGGUUAUAAAUGGCUGGAUGUGGAAGCUACAAAGAAGAGCCCAGGGGUGGGGUGGGAGUGAGGAGGUAGAGAGGUUUUGAGGAAGGAAAUGGUGAAGAGAAAAAAAAUAACAAAAAUAAACUUUCAUUUUAAAAUGCCAUAUAAUGAGUAUGGUCCCAGCUGAGAGGCAGGUUCUGGAUGGACUGUGGCAGGGUCCCUUAGCAACAGGCCCUGUUCCCUCCAUGCCCCAGCUCCUGGCUUUUUAUUUACUUAUUUAUUUAUUGGAGUUUACACAGCAGCAGGCAGUGGAUGGCAGCUGGGAGCCCAGAAGUUACAUGGAAGGUGGUAAGGUAAGAUAGAAUACUCACAAGCCCUGGAAAGCAGCCCUGUGCAGAAAUUCCCUGCAGCGACAUGUGGCCUGGGCACCCCAGUUUUCCUCCCACCCUCACUCUCUGAUAGCGGCUCCGGCUUUCCUUCCUCUGUGAUGUUUCCUGUGGCAGGUGGAGCAUACAGGAGGCUGUGAGGACGUACGUGUCCAAGGAGAAUUGUCAGGGCUGCGGGGGGAGGGGGGACACGGAGGAGGGUAGCUGGGAUGCCCAGUGCACUCUGAAGCAAGUGGAGGGUGAGGAGGCUGACCAAAGCAUGGAAGAGCCAAGUGAUGGGGAGGUGCCAGCAACGGGGCAGGGAAGUCACAGGUAUGCAGUGCCUUAGAAAUAUGUCAGAGGGUCGGGAGGUCCACGCCGGCGAGCACUGAUCGGGGAGGAAGGUUGAGACCCACGAUCCGGCUCUCAGGUUUCUUAGCCUUAUGAAGACAUAGUGUGUCCCCCAGCAGAGCUUGGGGGUGAGAGAUAUAGCCCUCUCCAACAGAGAGCAGGGACAGGCAGGCAGAGAGAGGGAGGAGCAAUUUCACCUAGGAGGACGCUAUCAAGGCAGGUCUCCAGAACCCACUUUCAACCCAAGCAAAAACAAAACAGAACAACAGUGUGUCAGAGAGAGAGAGAGAGAGAGAGAGGAGCUGAGGCCUGGGGCAGCCAGAGGGCCAGAGACUCUGUCUUAGCAGAUGGGGUCAGAAAAAGAGCAUCUGAGGUCACUGCCCAGGGAAUAGAGCCACCUGAGCCUCUCACCAGCCCUGACGCAAAUGCCGGAUAAAGGCUCUAAUGGGAUUACACUUGAGCCUGGGGCAUAGUUGGGGAAAGGCUGUGAAUUUGAAGGAGGGAAGGAAGGAGAUGGCAAGGGACUACAGAAGAAGGGAGAGUUCUGUGGUCCUGUGCUGGCUAGUUUCAUGUCUACCUGAUGCCACCUACAGAGUCCUUGGAGGGGAAGGAGCCACAGUUGAGAAAACAGCUCUGUAGGAACAGUCUGUAAGCAAGUCUCUAGGGCACUGCUAGUAAUUGAUGGGAGAGGGGCCUGCCAUUUGCGGGUGGGGCCAUCCCUGGGCUGGUGGUCCUGGGUUCUAUGAGAAAGGAGGCUGAGAAAGCUAUGAUGAGCAAGUCAAUAAGCAGCACCGCUCCGUGGCCUCUGCAUCAGCUCCUGCCUCCAGGUUCCUGCCCUGCUUGAGUUCCUGCCCUGACUUCCUGCAUUGAUGGGUUCUAGCAUGGAAGUGUGAGCCAAAUAAACCCUUUCCUCCCCAACUUGCUUUUGGCCAUGGUGCUAUGUCAUAGCAACAGUAGCCCUAACUAAGACAGGUCCCCUCUGCUAAAACUCCAGAGUCCUGGGGCACCUCAAGACCUGUUCCACGACGUCCCCAGUCCUGGGACAAGAGACCCAACAUCCCCCACUUUCUGCUCUCCUCCAAGUGGAUGAAACUAGACUCUUUGUGUUUGCCAGCCGUUGCCAAAACAAUAUAAAAUAGGUGUGGUUAAUAUCUGAGGUUGAGAGCCCAGGACCCUGGAGCACUUAGCACCCGGGUAGCCAAUGUAAGCUCUGUAAUGAGCCCUGCCCCCAAAACAUGCAGCCUCAGCCCCCGGGACAGCCAGAUCACACAUCAACGGUCAAGUGGAAUAGCUGUGCCUGUGGACUGCGGUUGGGUCACUGGGUGCCUUUUCCGUACUGGCUCCCAUGCCUUAGCCCGCAGCCCGUGUGCUCCUGGACACUGAGCCAUACAGUAGGACCUUGCGUGUGUAAGAGCAGAAGCCGCAGCAUGGCUGGGCAUCAGGACUCUCAGCCACAGGAUGAGAUGACCAUGUCCCCGACCACUCCUCUCUGGCCAUGGGUGUCCUUCACCGGGAGGCCACUCUUCUCUGGCUGGCAGUUCCACUGUCCCCGAGGCCUCUUCAGCCUCAGCUGCAGGGACAGGAGACAGGAGACACGGGCUCGGGGGCUGUUCAAACGGAUGAGAUGUCAGAUGUCACAGCACGAUGAUUGGGGUCUGGCUCUGACCGAAACGGCGUUGCCUUGUCACCCAGCAGGGCCCUAUUUCUAGGAGCGGCUGGGAGAGAGCGUUCCAGCCAGUGGUUGGGCCCAGAGGAAGUAGGAUGGAGCCGGAAUAGAGUGGGACUAUAGUCUGGUCCUGAUCUAGGCCAGCACAGGCUCUGAGGAGCCAACCCAGCGACACCAGUGUAGACAGGCCUGGGGUAAUUGUGCAGCUCCGGUUAGGGGUCCUAGAGAAAAAAGAAAAUGGCAGCCUUCUGGAAUUACCAGGCUCCCCUUCUGGACAGCCGUGGGACGUACCUCCAGGGCUCAGGUACCUGCAGAUGUUCUGCUGGUCAAGCAGAAAGGGCUGAGGCUUCCUGGAGAAGACACGUCCCCAGAAGUUACUGUUGAGAACAAUGCCUGUUUCCAGGGCUCACGGGGUCCUCCUGUCCUUGGAGGAGGGCGCCCCUAGAGGAGCAGCCACCCAUGCCCAAGUUCUACAGAGACAGGCCCAGGAUGUCGCAGCAGCAUGGCAAAAGCACAUAGGCUGCAUCUCAUCAUGACUGGGAGGCACAGCCCAUCUGAAACAUCUCCAAAAAGGAGAAAGCCAGAGUCCUCACAAAGGAGAAGAAGUGGCCAGGCUCUUUGUCGGUCACGUGGCAACACCCAGUGCUCCAGCAUCCAAGUAAAGAGGAUCAGGGAGGCUGCAGAGCAAGGUGCUGGAAAGAGUAACAUAGUUCCCUGUUAGGAUGCUGUAAUACAUUUCAGUAAAGUGAAAAGCAAGAAAGAAAAGAAAAGAAAAACCAAACUGCAGCACAACAGGAGUGUGGCCAAGCCGUGCCUCUGGGAUGUGUCUAGCUGGAGGGAUGUGAGCACAGCUGACAGCUUUGCCUCUCCUCCGGCCGCCAAACUGCCAGGCCCAUUGUCCCACACUCGGCCUUGGCUGUGCACUGCUUCACACAGGGUGUGAGGCCGUGGGACUUCACGACUCACUGUGCCUCCUUCCUAGGUCAAGACUUGUGCAUCCUCUGACUGUCACCUGUCCUGCUCUCUCACCAAUGUUUAGAGAGACCUGGAGGCCUGUCGAUAGAUGCCCUAGGUCUUGUUCUGCGGCCUGGACUCAUGACUGACCCCAAGCUGUUGUGGCUGUCCUCCUAGACAGGCAGUUGCUGUCUUAAGGGGUUCAUCUGCAGGCUCCUCGCGAAGCGGCUCUCUGUGUCACAGGACCCUCAGAGCAUGUGGGUCAGGAAGGAAGUGGGGUGGGGUGCCUGGGCUAUUCAGCUAUGGGGAAGCCCUCAGGCAUGAUGGGUACAGCCUGCUGGAGGGGAAGAACACCUCACUGAAUGGUGUUUUGUCAGCAGUAAAGACCUGGGUCAUUUGGCAAGAGGGCCCGUCAACUGAGAAGAAGGCCCCACCAAAGAGACCUGCGGGCAAAUCUGUGGAGCAUUUUCCUAAUUAACAAUCAGUAUGGGCGGUCCCAGCUCGCUUGUGGAUGGAGUCAGAGAGCAGGCUGAGCAAACUGCAGGCCGGCGCCACUCCUCUGUGGCCUCCGCUUCAUGUCCUACCUCCAGGAUCCUGCAUCCAGUUCCUGUCAUAACUCU